rnacentral:snoRNA from 1 species
UGCAGCUGUGUCAAAUUCAGUGCCUGCCUUACCCAUGGCAGGCAAUGGCCCAAAAGGCUACCACAGAGACACUGUAACUCAUGGGCCCUGUUCCUCUCUGCUGAGGCUCAGGGAUAAAUUUUUGUUACAGACAUGA